rnacentral:rRNA from 1 species
AAUCAAGUAAGAUGACCCGCUGGACUUAAGCAUAUUACUAAGCGGAGGAAAAGAAAUUAACAAAGAUUGCCUUAGUAAGGGCGACUGAACCGGCAAUAGCUCGAAAUUGGAAUCGUUGAUUCAAAGAAUCUUCGAAUUGUAAUCAGGUUCGCCGAAAUACGGAAGUGCACUUAAACAGAUCGAAUACUGUUGCCGAAGAGGGUGCAAGCCCCGUAAAGUGUUCAUCCGAAACAGGGGAAUCUCCAAAGAGUCGGGUUGCUUGGAACUGCAGCCCUAAGCGGGAGAUAUGAAUCUUCCAAAGCUAAAUAUGGAUGGGAGACCGAUAGCGAACAAGUACUGUGAAGGAAAGAUGAAAAGGACUUUGAAAAGAGAGUGAAAAGAUCUGAAAUCGU